UGCAGAAUCCCGUGAACCAUCGAGUUUUUGAACGCAAGUUGCGCCCGAAACCAUUAGGUUGAGGGCACGCCUGCCUGGGCGUCUCAC
rnacentral:rRNA from 1 species